AUAGAAUUAUGAUAAUGACAUUACCUAUCCAUAAGUCUUGACCAAAUUACGUGCCAGCAGUCGCGGUAAUACGUAAAAGACAAGUGUUAUUCAUCUUUAAUAGGUUUAAAGGGUACUUAGACGGUAAAUAAAGCCUCCAAAAGGGACUAGUUUGCUAGAGUUUUAUGUGAAGGAGUUUUAAAGUACUACUGGUGUAGAGAUGAAAUUCAGUUAUACCUUACAUGGCACAGGUUAAGGCGAAAGCAUCUUCUUAUGUAAAAACUGACGUUGAAGGACGAAGGCUUUGUGUCUCGAACAGGAUUAGAUACCCUAGUAGUCUAAGCAGAAAAUGAUGAAUGUCAUAGAUUAGAUUUAUUUUGAUCUGUAAAUGAAAGUGUAAGCAUUCCACCUCAAGAGUAAUUUGGCAACAUUGGAACUGAAAUCAUUAGACCGUUUCUGAAACCAGUAGUGAAGUAUGUUGUUUAAUUUGAUAAUCCGCAAAAAACCUUACCACAAUUUGAAUAGAUAUAUUUUAUCAUACAAGCGUUGCACGGCUGUCUUCAGUUAAUGUCGUGAGACUUUGGUUAGUUCCAUUAAAUUAACGUAAACCCUUACUUUAUUUUUAUAUAAAGUAGUUCACCGCUAUAUUGGAUGUGAUAAUAGGGAUCAAGACAAGUCAUCAUGACCUAAAUAUUGUGGGCUAUAGACG
rnacentral:rRNA from 1 species